rnacentral:rRNA from 1 species
AACGAACGCUGGCGGCAUGCCUAACACAUGCAAGUCGAACGAGACCUUCGGGUCUAGUGGCGCACGGGUGCGUAACGCGUGGGAAUCUGCCCUUGGGUUCGGAAUAACAGCGAGAAAUUGCUGCUAAUACCGGAUGAUGACGUAAGUCCAAAGAUUUAUCGCCCAAGGAUGAGCCCGCGUAGGAUUAGCUAGUUGGUGAGGUAAAGGCUCACCAAGGCGACGAUCCUUAGCUGGUCUGAGAGGAUGAUCAGCCACACUGGGACUGAGACACGGCCCAGACUCCUACGGGAGGCAGCAGUGGGGAAUAUUGGACAAUGGGCGAAAGCCUGAUCCAGCAAUGCCGCGUGAGUGAUGAAGGCCUUAGGGCUGUAAAGCUCUUUUACCCGGGAUGAUAAUGACAGUACCGGGAGAAUAAGCUCCGGCUAACUCCGUGCCAGCAGCCGCGGUAAU